AAUAAAAAAAAAAAGAUAGUAAAUAUAAAACAACUAAAUAAUAUUGAAAACAACAAGAAAUAAGACCAAAAAAAUCUAAAAAUAGCAAUAGAGAAAAACAAACCGGCUUUUUUCUUCCUUUUUUCAUAUCAAGAUUGGUUCCAACUUUGAUUUCAAUGACUUUCUCGUGAUUUUGUUUUACUCUCCUGCAAAUGUUAAAACCAGUGUGUUAGGAUAGGAGAUCUUUUGAAAUAAUUUAUUUGAAAAAAUAGUAUAACAUUUUUUAUGAUGUGAUGUACAUAAGAAAAAAGACAAUUGAAAAGAUAAAAAUAUAGUUGAAAACGUAUUUACGAUGUAAUCAAAUAAUCUUGUGCAAAUAAGAAGCUAUCCAAACACACUCGCUAACCUUUUACAAUCAUUAUCGUGCUCCAAAUUCUGUUCAAGCAUCGAAACAAGUGGAAAGCUUUGAAUUUCCAGGCUUGAAUAUCCAUACUUUGAUUCUUCGUAAUGGCCUAUUAUCUAUCCCUGAACCAAGCUAAGUACCAACGCUCGAACUUGUCAUUCUUGCUCAGAAGUCCGAAGAAUUAAGAUGGAUCCUGAUUGUGGUAACAAUUGCUGAACAGGAAUUUCUUUGCCCAAGACGGAUUUGGCGGCAGUACUAAACCGCACUUGAUUGUUUCAACUCGUACCCAAAAAUUUCAAAAAGAGUGAAUAUACUUGCAUGACUGUCGUGAUUACUUCUUCAUAUGAUCAUAAGGGUGAUGACUGAUGAAAUCCAAGUCAUGGGCAAUCAUCCUGUAGUGUUACUCUUGACUGAGUAAACAAGACUCC
rnacentral:lncRNA from 1 species